rnacentral:rRNA from 1 species
AACGAACGCUGGCGGCGUGCCUAACACAUGCAAGUCGAGCGCGAAUGGAGUAAUCCUAGUAGCGCGGCGAACGGGUGCGUAACACGUGGGUAAUCUGCCUAGAAGACUGGAAUAACCUGCCGAAAGGCUGGCUAAUACCGGAUAAGACCACAGAGUCUUCGGACUCCGAGGGAAGAUGGUGGCCUCUGUAUACAAGCUUGCACUUCUAGAUGAUCCCGCGGCCCAUCCGCGAGUUGGCGGGGUAAUGGCCCACCAAGGCAACGACGGGUAGCUGGCCUGAGGAGACGCUCGGCCACACUGGAAAGGGGACACGGUCCAAACUCCAACCGGAGGCAGCAGUGGGGAAUUUUGCACAAUGGGCGAAAGCCUGAUGCAGCAACGCCGCGUGUGUGAUGAAGGUAUUCGGAUUGUAAAGCACUGUCGACCGGGACGAACACCUGUUGGCCAUCAUACAACAGCCUGACGGUACCGGGAGAAGAAGCACCGGCUAACUCUGUGCCAGCAGCCGCGGUAAAAC